AGUAAUGCCUAGGAAUCUGCCUGGUAGUGGGGGACAACGUUUCGAAAGGAACGCUAAUACCGCAUACGUCCUACGGGAGAAAGCAGGGACCUUCGGGCCUUGCGCUAUCAGAUGAGCCUAGGUCGGAUUAGCUAGUUGGUGAGGUAAUGGCUCACCAAGGCGACGAUCCGUAACUGGUCUGAGAGGAUGGUCAGUCACACUGGAACUGAGACACGGUCCAGACUCCUACGGGAGGCAGCAGGU
rnacentral:rRNA from 1 species